rnacentral:rRNA from 1 species
ACCAGUAAAGUAUAAUAGGCAGACAGACAAGCAGUGCUAAGGUUGCUUGUCGAAAGGGAAACAGCCCAGCCUGGCCGCUAAGGUCCCAAAGCAUUCUGUGAGUGGGAAAAGAUGUGAUACAACGAUGACAACUAGGAGGUUGGCUUGGAAGCAGCCAUUCUAUCAUGAAAGCGUAAUAGCUCACUAGUCGAGUUGUCUUGCGCUGAAAAUGUAUCGGGGCUGAACAGAAUCACCGAAGCGCCAGUUUUUAGGUAGCGAAGCGUUUUGUGCGCCAAUGAACACAUAUCGUAAGAUGUGUGGAAGGUCUCAAAAGUGACUAUGCUGACAUGAGUAACGAAAAAUCAUGUAAAGCCAUGAUCGCCGUAAGUUCAAGGGUUUCUGCUAACUGGGAAUCAGUGCAGAGUUAAGUUCGGUCCCUAAGAGUUUGUAUACACUUAUACGCUUGAUGGAGGACGUUUAUGCAAGACGGCUAUUUAAUACACAAAUACUGCAAAAUGGAUACGGUGUAUGUGUGUUAUAGUCCAGGAAAAAAGCAUUAAUGCAAGACCGUACCCGAAACCGACACAGGUGAACGAGUCGAGUAGACUCAGGCGUUGAGUGAACCAUAUUGAAGGAACUCGGCAAAAUAAUCCCGUACCUUAGGAAGAAGGGAUACCGAAAGGUGACACAAAAAUGGGGGUGACGACUUUUUACUAAAAAAUUAGGACUCUGCAAAAUGGUAACAUGCUGUAUAGGGUCUGACGUCUGCCCGGUGCUAGAAGUCUAAAAGGCGCAUUGCAAGAUGCAAAUGGAAAGCCUAGUAAACGGCGGUUGUAACUAUAACAAUCAUAAAGUAGCGAAAUUCAUUGCCAGCUAAUUCCUGGCCUGCAUGAAAGACGUAACGAUUGCCCCGCUGUCUCCAGUGUGGACUCAGUGAAAUUGAAUUCUCCGUGCAGAUGCGGAGUAUGUGCCCCAAGACGAGAAGACCCUAUGAAGCUUUACUGUACAUUUGCAUUGACAACACCAUCUGCAUGCGUAGGAUAGGUGGGAGUACAUACACACUUGAAAUACCACCCUUGCAAUGUUUUUUGUCUUCCUUGACCCAUCAAGAACCAUGCAUGUGAGGCAGUUUGACUGGGGCGGUCGCCUCCUAAAGAGUAACGGAGGCGUACGAAGGUAAACUCAAUGUAGAUCGGAAACCUACUGAAGAGCGUAAUGGUAUAUGUUUGCCUGACUGUAAGAUGUACACAUCAAACAGAGACGAAAGUCGGUCAUAAUGAUCCACAAGUGCCGCGUGGAAGGGCUUGUGCUUAACGAAUCAAAGAUACGCCAGGGAUAACAGGCUGAUAAUUCCCAAGAGUCCUUAUCGACGGAAUUGUUUGGCACCUCGAUGUUGACUGAUCAUAUCCUGGGGCUGAAGAAGGUCCCAAGGGUUCGGCUGUUCGCCGAUAAAAAUGGUACCUGAGUUGAGUUUAGAACGUCGUGGGACAGUUUGGAUUCUACCUGGGGUGCGCGCUUAAGAAUUGAGAAAACUACUUCUUUGUACGAGAGGACCGGAAGUAUUUA